GUCCAAUUGAAUCGCAGAAGUCCUAAAAGAAUUUCUCGACAUACAUCCUGACUGAAACUGGUGCUUUCUGCAAAAGAAAAGCAAGUUGACAGCCAAUUGUGGAGGAAAAGUUAUGAAAACUGGAGAAUGCGGGAGCUUUGCUGCCGAACAAUCAACUGUCAAUUUCCAGCUCGAUUAUAUAAACUUGAUAUUCGUAGACAAAGUGAUGGAUCCACCCUCCCCUACCCCGGUUUCCACUAAUCACCAGAAGAGAGUAAAGCAAGGAACACUUAGCUAACACUAAAGGAGGCAGCAGCUGUGAA